rnacentral:misc_RNA from 1 species
UCCGGCUUAUCACCGGCAGUCCCUCUAGAGUUCCCGACAUGACUCGCUGGCAACAGACAAUGAGGGUUGCGCUCGUUGCGGGACUUAACCCAACAUCUCACGACACGAGCUGACGACAGCCAUGCACCACCUGUGCACCACCCUCGAAGGCGACUGCUUUUCGGCAGCUUGCAGGUGCAUGUCAAGCCCUGGUAAGGUUCUUCGCGUUGCAUCGAAUUAAGCCACAUGCUCCACCGCUUGUGCGGGCCCCCGUCAAUUCCUUUGAGUUUCAGUCUUGCGACCGUACUCCCCAGGCGGCGAACUUAACGCGUUAGCUUCGAUACUGCGUGCCAAAUUGCACCCAACAUCCAGUUCGCAUCGUUUAGGGCGUGGACUAC